CCUGAGCUGUGUUUCAGAGAAAGGAGGAAAUACUGCUGCUAUCAUGGCUGCUGAAUUCAGUGCUGCCAGCAGCUCUGAAAGCCUUUGUAGAAAACAGCAGGUCAGUAGCAAGUGUAAGACAGAAUAUACAUUUUCAAAGCAAGUCCGCUAGUAGCAAACUGUGAACACACAGUGCAAGACAGCCAAAAAGUGUGUUACACCAUGAAUCACAGCAAAAUAAAUAAUUCUGGAAGUCAUCAGUAACAGACGACUGUGAUCAAACAGUAAGGUAGGGAAUGGCAAUUUUAAAUAACAGCAGGUGCAGUAAAUUAAACUGGAAAUGAGGGAAUCCUAAAAUAUUGUAAUUGGCUUCAGUUUCAGAUGCAGGGCUGCACUCUGAAUGUUCAGCUUGAAGACAAAAUGAAACCUAUGAAAAAUAGAUAUGAAGAGCUGCAACUUUUUGCUGGGAGAAGACAGGAAGGAUGGAAACACACUGUGCCUUAUAGGAACUUUUUUCAGCUGUGAUUAAGGCUGUUUUCAACUCAGCAAGAGGAUCAGAAUUUGAAAUGCAUCAGGAGAAAGCAUUACCUGGUGAGAAUAUCUGAGCUGCCAGAGCACAAUAUCUCUAAGGCAGAAGAAAAAUUAUUGAAAAAUAAUUCCACGCAAUCCAAGAGACUUCUACCAGAGGGGAGGCAGUGCUGGAUCCGAUGGUCAGCAACAUAAGGGAGCAAGUCAGGGACUUCAAGACUGAAUGCAGCCUGGUGGAGUUUUCAGUCCUAAAGAAUAGGAGUCAGGCAAGGAUUAGAGUUUGGCACCUGAACUUUAGGAAAGUAAACUUCUAGCUGUUUAAGGAGAUGUCAGUUGGAUCCCCUGAGAGAUUGUCUUCAGGGACAAGGGAGUGAAUUGGAGCUGGCGGAUAUUUAAGGAUGUCUUCCAUAAAAUGCAAGUCGUCAUAAUUCCCAGGACCAAGAAGUUGGGCAAGCAAGAGCAUCCUAGGGACUCCAAAGAGCAAAUGAUUACAAAAUCUGUUGGAGUGAUUCACACCAGCAACAGCAGUUGAUCCAGUGUUUCAUUAGGACCAUCUUUGCUGGUCCUCCCAGGCCUUCUGAAUGUAAUCCUGAAGCUGUGAAAUUAUUUAUCUCAAAGGACAAGCUGGACUUGCCGUGAUAAUGGAGGGAAGGUCUGUUUACCAUGCCACAAAGACACUGCUGAGCCUCUGCUAAAGUGGAAGGUUGGAGGUCUAUUGAUGAGACAAGGAGAGACCUUGCUUGGGGAACAGAUUACAGAAAAAAUAUAAUCAGGUGUCCCAGCUGCUGUUCAAGCCUCUGUUUGCAAAGGCCCCUGGAUACACAAAUGUCUCCACAACCACAAACCAAAUAAAGGACGUGAUUGCAGAUGUAGUUGCCAUCUGGAGUCAAACAGAAAAGCCAUAGCAGUUGGCUGCUGGAUGUGUAGCCAAAAGAAGAGGAAUUUGUAAAUAAUUGUGUCUGAAAUCUGUUAACUGGAGAGAAUAAAUGGAUAAUGAAGAAUACAGGAAGGUAAGUGAUUGUGAAUUGAAGCUUGUAAAUGUAUAGGAAGUGUCAAGUGUCAACAUAACAUAGCACUGAAGGAGAAGCUGUAUGAGCAAAGCUCAUUUGAGAAGCUUUGUACCUUUUGCCGCUCACAGGAGUAAGAAUAAUUUUGUGUAGAGUACAAAAAAUGCUCGAGAGCUCUCCACUUAAGCUGCACAGUUCAGUCCCGCCUGGAUUCUGUUUGACACAGUUCAAUCAUGGAGACCUAAUUCUUGGUGUUUUUAAGUUGUGAAGAACAUUGCAGAUCUGCUGAGGAACAGCUGCUUAAAAAAAUGAAAAAUAUAAAUAACCCAGGUCUAGAAAAGUAUUGUGUUCUAUUCUUAAUAUAUUUGGGUGAUCAUCAGAUAAAAGGAUUUUUAUUCAGAAAAGUUAGAAAUUUUACUACUUCUAGCUACUUAAAAAUGGAGAGAAAACAACUAACAGAACAACCUACUCUUAUGUAGCAUCAUGCAAGUAAGUUAGACUUGGGCAAAAAAUAAUUGCUACAAGAGAUGUGAAUAAGCAUUGUCAGUUUGAGUCCUGUCCUGAGCUGCCUUAGUUGACUCAUAAAGCACAAAUGUAACUGUGGAAUUGAUAAUUUGCUGCACAUUAACACAAUAACUGGUCAUGAAAAUUCCUUUUGUUAAUUAUUUUUAUAUCACUUGGUGUAGCUGUGUCUGUAUAUUACUAUGCCUUGUGCUUUAGGAUAUCCUGGAUGUACCAAAGAAAUGCUGACAAAUCAGAUCAUUCAACUGUAAAGUUCUCCUUGUGAUCCCUGCUUCUCUGUUAUGGCUCACAUUAUUACAGUACCUCUAAUUCAAGAUCUCACAUUUUUAUAGAGGGCAGUAAGAACUCUUGCUUAAAUUACAUAACCCAAGGAAAGCAGGGAAGGAAAAUUAGCAUGGGAUAAAGUAGGAUCUAAGGCACACAACCACAACUGCUAAUUAUUUCUGUAUAAAUAGCAGGUAGGCACUGGCUGAGGUAGAUCUCACAAGGUAACUGUGAGGACAGCUACUUAAUUGCUGCUAAAUGCAUCAAAAAUUUUAAAGUAAAGACAUAUUUGCAAAAGCCCAACAGAUUUUUCUUUUUUCCUUUCCCUGCUCCAAGCCCUUUCAGGUAAAAGGAGAAACGAGAAUAACAUCCAAGUGAAAUAGUCCCAUCAUAUCUGUAAUACAAAGAGAGGAUUUUUAUAGUUUUCCAUUUUAAAGCAUUGUUAUGGAUUAGAGUACCAGCAGAUCUUUUGUUUGCUGUGUUUUGUGCCAAAAGCUUAUACAGUCAGUACCAAAUAACUAAUAGAAUGUCAUUUCAGUGUGUGCUAUUAAAUGUGAAUAAGUGUGCAUUGAGGACAGUUCAAAAAUAAAUUUCAUCAAUGUUAAGAGCUUAUAAAAUAUAGAAAUAAAAAAACAGUAGAAAAAGGAACAUAUUCCUGGGAUAAGAGGGCUUGUAAGGAGACAAUGCUGGAAAUGCAGAAUUUUCCUCUUUUCCUUUCAUUGAUCUCACAAAAGCAUUGUAUGCAGUAAGUUGCUGUGCUCUUUGCAGCCUCACAGAAAAUCCUUGUCUGUUUAAAUCGUUUGAGGUGGACUUCUGAACUGCUUCAUGUGAGUACCAAAUGAAGCUCAAUAGACUUUUUGAUAUUUUCCAUAGGAUGACUCAAAGAAUCCAUCUUGUAACUAGUCUUGUUCAUGCUGUUCAGUACAGUGAGGUACAUGAUUCCUGUGACCUUCAAAUGAGCAUUUAUAUUUUUGAAAUUUACAAGUGUCACUUGUUCUCUCCAAAUUGUCUAAAAAAGCUAAAUGGACAAGUUAAGAAUUCUUGAUUAUAGCCACGCAUAGGUUUUCCACUCCAAUUUCUAAUUUACAAGUGCUGGAACAGAAAUUUAUUCUUCUCCAGACAGCUUUUAAUUUGGCUGUCAGAUGAAAAAUUAGGGCUGCUAGAGGGAACAACAAAAAAGAGUGUCUGCUGACCCUCUAAACUGAACUCCUUGUCUGAAAGCUGCUUGUUUUUUGGUAUUUGCUGAGUAAAAAUGAAUGCCUACUAAGAGAUGGACCCAGAAAAAACAAGGUAUUCCUGACAGGCACUUUCAAGAAAACAGCAGUCUGGCAUCAGGCUCUCCAGCAGGCGCAUUAAUGUUUUGAACUUCAUUUCUCCUGCAGGAUAACUCUUUGGGAGCUGGACAGAAGAUAAAUCUGUGCACUGGAGUUCUGCUAUGGAAGCUACAGCUUUCCCCUCUCUGGAGGACACUGUGCAAUGAAAUGAUCAGUGGCAACAUUCACACUUUGUGUUCACCAAGGUGUUACUGAAGUCCAGCUGUGAGAGACCAGAGAAAUUGUCCAUUUGAACUCAGGAGUGCUCAGCUCCUGUGCAGUGAGGUCAAAUGAGUCAAUAGGAAGCAGGGUUACUGCCAGAGGGCUUCAGGAGCUGUAAAUGGUGCUCCUGACUAUUUCCAACACAGCACGAGGCUCUUCAAGAUCCCAACCAUGUGUAAUGGUGCAAGCAGCCUGGCUUUUUGAGGGAUCACAGGGGUCUGUCCAAACUCUUUGGCUGGAAAAUCACUCAAGUCAAAGGAUUCACCCAGCAGCAGGAAUGCCUUGGCCCACAGACUGAAUGGCAGCAUAGGUUAUUUAAUGCCUGUGUAGUCACCAAACCUUGACUCACCAUUGCCUCAAAAUGCUUUCAUCCUUAGCUUUAAGAAUUUUCCUCUAAUGACAUCAAAAAUUAUAUUAACUAUUAUAUUGACCCUAAUUUUAAACUUGUAUCAAAUUGUAAGUAAUAAGCUUUGGACUGCUUGAGUCAGAGGUGAACAUGUUAAAACCACAUUUACUAAUAAUCUAACUAGGAUUAAAAUUUUAUUCUUCCUCGUGAAAUCUCCGCAGAAAGUUCAGGGCUGGGAGGGAAACGUGAAAAUUAGAUGUGAAAUUACACAAGGUUCUCUGGUAGGUGUGCGUGCAUGGCUUUUUGUGAGAGUUUAGUGAUAUAAAUUAUCUUUUUUUUUCCUUUCAGGACAACACUGCACAUGCUUAUUUUAAUAUGGUAAUUGGCAAUGUAAAUAAUAGACUUAAACUGACAGUGAAUGUAAAUGUGUGCUAAGAUCAAACUAUGGAAAACAAGUUUGUUUUUAUGUGGGUAGUUGUCUGCAGCAGAGGGAUGGUAUGAGGUGAUGCAAUAGCAUCAGCGUUUUGAAGUGUUAGAGCCAAAUCUGCCAAAAUUACUUCUGUCUGAGACCUAGGUCCUGUAAUUAUUACUGUCUGUAGGUCCUGAGACAGUACUUUUAUACCUUAGACUAUUUUUCCCUGAGUUUACAACUAAAAGCAAUGUAAGAUUUGCAGAGCUCUCUGUAUCUAAUAGAAUGAGACUAAAAUUCUCCAAUUAUGUGUUUAUUAAUAUGUUGUAUUAUGAACAUGAAAGAUGCCCACCCUUGUUCAAAAAAGAAAAAGUUAGACUUUCUGCCUCCAAGUGCUUACGGUCUUUGGACCUUUUCCCUCCUGAAGCAGAGUUCUGCAGUUGCCUGUAAAAGGUGCAGGACUCAAUUCUAAAUAAUCCUAAGAAAGAUUAAGGCUCUAUUAAAUAAAUGUACUUUUGCUAAGGAGCUGAAGAAAAAGCCACCAGUCUAACUUAUUCCAUAUAACCAAGAGGGUGAUUAAAUGUUCCAAAUAUGCAGAAGUCAAAUGUCCCAUUUCUGCUUUAAAUCUUUUCCUUUUAUAGGCUGUGGGUUAUACUCCCUGCUUUGAAAACCUGUGCUGUUUAGGAACAAGAAUUUAUUUACAGUUUUAAAAACUUGCAACUAAUCUUGGAUGAAUAGUCUGAAUUAACCUUUGGCAGAGAAGUUGUAAUUUCUAAGCCAACACAUAACUGUAUUUUGCAUUAGUUUAGGAAUAUUGGGUACUUUGAGGGGUUAAGAAUAAAAUAUUUUCCAUGAUUCAUAUCUCUUUUAGCUUAAAAAGUCAACAACUCGAUUCCAGUGCAGCCAAAAGGGGUUUUCAGUCCAAAAUGUCUCAUUGCUUGCAAUUAAUUUGGGCUCUUGCAAUUAGGGUUUUGUAUCCCAAUGCAUUAAUGCAUGAAAGCAGCUGCACAAUGAGUAGUGCCACAUGUUUGAACUAAAAAUAAUCUGUGUACAUUGUUGCUGUGCAAACAGUUGUACGUUUUGGUCACUGAAGAUAAUCUCUGUGUUAGAACAGCAGAGUUGCAAAUUGUACAGCUGAGAGGGACAAUUGUGUGUGCCUGCUUGUGCCACUUACCCACGCCCUCUCCCUUUCUGGCUUAGCAAGUGUGCUGAAUCCUGUUUAAAUCCAUCCUCAAGUGCAUAAAAACUUUGAGUGAGAAAUAUACUUAGGCAAUUGGAAACAACUAUAUUUUCCAUGAAAUAAGGAUUUUGAGCUUAGACUACUGACACGGUGCUUUAGGGAGGGGGGAAAAAAGGCUGUGCUAGUUUAGAAUGAAUUCUGUCUUGCAGGUGUAUCCAUGGGAGAGGGUAAAAAACCCCCUCAGCUGAAAAUGGCACGCUUUCCAACUUUCUGAGCUCAAUCCUUCUUCCACCGUGCUGGUUUUGGCUGGGGUAGAGUUAAAUUUCUUCACAGUGUCUAGUGCAGGGCUGUGUUUUGGAUUUGUGCUGGACACAGAGUUGAUAAUACAGAGAUGUUUUUUGGUACUGCUGAGCAGGGCUUACUCAGAGCCAACGCCUUUCCUGAUUUUUGUACUGCCAUGAUGGCGAGGACAUUGGGGAACCAUCAGAGGUUCAGAGGGGACACAGCCAGGACAGGUGACCCAACACACCAAAGGGGUUCUAGACCGUAUAGCAUCAUGAUCAGUAUGUAAAGUGAAGGGAAGAAGGAGAAAUAGGAGGACAUUGGAGUGAUGGCAUUUGUCUUCCCAAGUCACUACUACUUGGUGUGAUGGGGCCUGCUCUCUUGGAGAUGCCGAACACCUGCCUGCCCAUGGGAAGCAGUGAAUUGAUUCCUUGUUUUGCUUUGUUUGUGUGGGCUGCUUUUGCUUUCCCUGUGAAACUCUGUAUCUUAACCCACUAGUUCUCUGGCUUUUACCCUUUCAAUUCCCUCUCCAGUCCCACUGGUUGGGGGGUGAGUGAGUGGCUGGAUGGUGCCUGAUUGCUGACUGGGAUAAACCACAACAUCCAUUUACAGGUCAGUGUUUUGUGGCACCAUUGAAGAGUCCUUGCCUUUCAAGAAACUCCAGAAAAUUUAUUCUGAUCCUCAUCCUCUUAACAUUCAUGAGUGGCUUGCCAGUGGACGACUUCUUUAUACAAACUUAGAGUAACCUUUGUGUCUCAAAAGCACUUGCUUCUACUUCCAGCCUUGCACCUUAAUCUCCGCUCCCCAUUCCAAUGUAAAUUAUACAGAGGAAUAAAUUGUGUCUAACUUUUUUUUUCUUUUGUUGCAGUUCUUCAGCCUACAUCUUACACUAUGUACACUGGUGGGUGUCCAGUGCAACACUGCACUAGACCGGAGCCCUGGGUCAUCACAGGUGCUGGGAACUGCUGACAAAGGGCACCAUAAUGCAGGAGACUGUUCCAUUAGAAGAUAACAGGACUGCCAGCUAUCACUGCUUUGUUGGGAAUAACAUCUUAGGCAUGUUGUCUGUCUUCGUUUUCCAAGCCUCGGUACAGUGCAAUGUGCUUGGCUGCCAACAGCCAUUCCUGACAGACUUUGGCUGCUGCCUUUCAGCAUGGACCCCUACCUCCAGUCAACUAGCUUGGAUUAUAAAUUUCCAGUGGAAAUGAUGGAAGUCCAUUCCUGCCAGUAGCAUUAACUGAAUGCUGACAGUGAAGAGAGGGGCUGGGAUCCUGCAGCUGAGCACAAAAGAAAUGCAGCACAGAAACUGAGAAGUGUUUAGUUUCUCAUUCAGAAGGAGUCAAGAGAGGAAGUUUUUCAGUCCAGAGUGUUAGCUUUGAUUUGUGGAUAAAGAAACUGAUUGCUAUUGCAUCUGUUCCUUAGAGAGUGGGAAACAAAAAGGGAUAUAUUCCCUCUAAUUAGGAUUGCAGCUAAACCUGGUUAUUAACUACUUCUAAAGGUAAAAACUUGAGUAUUUGGGCUAGAAAGAAUGAUGGGAUUAGAGCAUGUCUUUCUCUUAUUUCAGACAUGGUCUCUGCUUUUAACUCUGUGUUCAUUUGUACCUUUAAUUUUUUCCCUCCUUUUUUUCCCUUUUGAGUGUGAGACAAGAGUAAUGUGUGCCCGUGGAAGGACUUGCAUUGUACAAGGGUUUCCACUCCAUGUUGGCAGACAAGUAGAUGCAGUUCUGGCAUCUCAUUUGUGCUCAUUUGGGUUUGUUUACUGACAGCAAACAAACAAAAAAUAAACAAAAAGCUGUGAGAUAGCAAAUUUUUUACUUGUACUUUUGCCAAGUACUUGUGUACUAUUUCUGUGCCAGAUUUUCAGUAACGAUGGCAUUAAACUAUACUCUCUUCUCCCUUUGGUCAUAACAAGUAAGCUCAUUUAUUUUUACUUAAAUUGGCUAUUUUAGAAAUGCUCUUAUGAGUUAAACCAGCUUCUCUUUUCUAGAAUAAUAUCAUGGUUGUGUGAUUAAAUCAAAAGAUCAUAUUACAAAAGAGAUCUUGUAAUGUAGAAUGAGGUAUUAAUUUCAUAAUGUAUUAAAGAUUUCUGUGUUUUUCCCUCUCUUUACCAUUGUAGUUUGUUUGGACAAAUUUCAAGGUUCUGAACUCUGGAUUUUUACUUUUUUUUUGAGAGGCUUAAAGAUCCUAUACAUCCAGCAUUCCUUUACCUGAGUAUUGUUCUCAAAGUUAAAUGUAUAAACCAUGAAAAAAGGAACUAAAAUAUUUGUAAACACGGGGAAAAAAAUAAAAGGAGUCUUCAAGAAUACCCAGAUUGCAGGUUGUGUGCCUUCCAAAAAAAAAAAAAAAGUGGUAGAUUAUUAACACAUGAGAAUUUUUCAAUUUCUGUUGAAUUGGGGAGAAGAUUUGAUAACCAGCCCUAGUCUUGAGAGCCUACCUUUAAGACCAUGUACACUACAGGGAGUACUCAGGAGGGUUUCAUGAUCAAAAUGGAAUCCAAAUAUUUACAAAUGUCUGCUUCAAAACACCUAAAGGUGGCCAGCUUAUAAAC